AAACCUAGCACACCCUGCUGGCAUUAACAUGGUUGAUAACCAGGCUUUUCUGUAACAUUAUCAGCUCAAUCUAAAAGUUUCCUUGUAGGAACUAGAAGAUUUGUGAGUUCAAGUUGCAAAGAGGAGAGACUGGGAAGAAACGAAAAGGACAGCUUCAUCUCUGAGCUACAACUCUCCUAGAACAUAAAAAAAAUCUGUGGAAGCUAGCUGAGAAUUUUGCAAGCAUAUCGGAAUGGCAAAUCAACUGAGCAGCUCCCUGGCUCCAGCACAUGCAAACAUUUGAAUUUCCUGUUGGCUCAGAGUGUUUGCAUUGCAAGUGACAUCUGGCUGACAGGAUCUUGGAGAAAUGGGAUACGAAGUGAAUGCUGCAGUUACCACAGCAUCAUAUUUAUCAAAAGACUUAAGCUGCUGGUGAUGUCUCAGUGUAUCGUCAUGGUCCUCCUUUGUCCUAAAGGUGUUUAACCC
rnacentral:lncRNA from 1 species